rnacentral:rRNA from 1 species
CAAUAGCGUAUAUUAAAGUUGUUGCGGUUAAAAGCUCGUAGUUGGAGUUCUGCCAGGUGACGCUCGUCCGCCCAAGUGGUGUGUACAGGGCGUGCAUCUGGCCCUUUCAAGGGGAACGUGUCUGCUCUUUAUUGAGUGGUGCGAGAUCCUUGACUUUUACUUUGAGGAAAUCAGAGUGUUCCAAGCAGGCUCUCGUCGUGUAUAGCUCAGCAUGGAAUAAUAGCAUUGGACUUCGUUUCUAAGCUGUUGGUUGCAAGAAGCGAGGUAAUGAUGAAGAGGGAUAGUUGGGGGCAUUCGUAUUUAACUGUCAGAGGUGAAAUUCUUGGAUUUACGAAAGACGAACAACUGCGAAAGCACUUGCCAAGAGUGUUUUCAUUAAUCAAGAACGAAAGUUAGAGGAUCGAAGACGAUUAGAU